ACGCGAGCUGGGUUCAGAACGUCGUGAGACAGUUUGGUCCCUAUCUGCCGUGGGCGUCGAAAUUUGAGAGGAGUUGACCCUAGUACGAGAGGACCGGGUUGAACAUACCUCUGGUGUACCUGUCGUGGCGCCAGCCGCGCAGCAGGGUAGCUAUGUAUGGACGGGAUAACCGCUGAAAGCAUCUAAGCGGGAAGCCUCCCUCAAGAUAAGAUUUCUUAGAGCCGUGGAAGACCACCACGUUGAUAGAUCGGAUGUAGAAGCGCGGUAACGCGUGGAGCUAA
rnacentral:rRNA from 1 species